GAUGAAGAACGCAGCGAAAUGCGAUAAGUAAUGUGAAUUGCAGAAUUCAGUGAAUCAUCGGAUCUUUGAACGCACCUUGCGCCCUUUGGCUAUUCCGAAGGGCAUGCCUGUUUGAGUAUCAUGAACACCUCAACUCUUCACGGCUUGCCGUGAUGAGUUUGGACUUUGGGGGUCUUGCUGGCCUACGAGCCAGCUCCUCUCAAAUGUAUUAGCUUGCCGGUGUUUGGUGGCAUCACAGGUGUGAUAACUAUCUACGCUUGUGGUUUUCCACUAGGUAACCUUCAGCAAUGGAUGUUCACCGGAGCUCACAAAUGUCUCUCCUUGCCAAGGACAGAUUUUGACCAUUUGAUCUCAAAUCAGGUAGGACUACCCGCUGAACUUAAGCAUAUCAAUAAGCGGAGGA
rnacentral:misc_RNA from 1 species